CUUUUCCAACACUUUGUUCAUACACAAGAACUAAUAUAAUAAACAUACAUCAAUGUAGUCCCACAUACGACAUUCCAAUUUCAAUCUAACCUUUUCUCUUUUCUUUCUGUUCUAUUCCUGUUAAUCCACACCAUGUAACAGUUAUCCAACAACAUGUAAGACUUAUCCAACAUUGUGUUCAUACACGUGAACUAAUAGAAUAGACAUACACUAAUGAAUAUCCAGAAAAAACAUACCAAUUUAACACUAAAAUUUCUACUCUGUUUCUUCUCUGUGCCUAUUAAUCUAC
rnacentral:lncRNA from 1 species